CCUGUCCCUGUCCCUGUCCCUGUCCCUGUCCCUGUCCCUGCCAAAGGGCUCCCAGACCUCUGGGCAUCCUCCCAGGGGCUCUGGCUGCAAUCAUCCCCCCUGUUGUGCUUCCUGUCCUCACAAUCCCCACUCCCAGCACACCUUAACCCCUUCCCGAGGGGUUAACCCCUUCCCUUCCCUGCUCCCAGCUCCCUGAAAACCCCCGGGAUGUUCCACUGCAUUCCCACAUGUGUAGAGCUCAGUUUGCCACGCCAAGUUUGCCACUCAGCUUUGUCACUCCAACUUUGCCAUGCCAAGUUUGCCCCUCCAAGUCUGCCACUCAAGUUUGGCACAUCAAGUUUGGCAUGCCAAAUUUGCCACGCCAAGUUUGCCACGCAAAAUUUGCUACUCCCAGUUUGCCAUGCCAAAUUUGUCAUGCCAAGUUUGCCACUCAAGUUUGGCAUCCCAGUUUGCCGCUCCAAGUUUGCCACUUCAACUUUGCCACUCAAGUUUGCCACUCCAAAUUUGCUACUCAAGUUUGCCAUGCCAAAUUUGCCACUCAAGUUUGCCACUCCAAGUUUGCCAUUUAAAUUUGCUCCUCCAACUUUGCCACUCCAACUUUGCCACUCAAGUUUGCUACUCCCAGUUUGCCACUCAAGUUUGCCACUCAGGUUUGCCACGCCAACUUUGCACUCAAGUUUCCCAUGUCAAGUUUGCCACUCGAGUUUGCCACACCAAAUUUGCCAUGCCAAGUUUGCCACUCAAGUUUCCCACUCAAGUUUGGCGUGCCAAGUCUGCCACUCCAACUUUGCCACUCCGAGUUUACUAUGCCAAGUUUGCCACACCAAGUUUGCCACACCAAGUUUGCCACUACAACUUUGCCAUGCCAAGUUUGUCACUCCAACUUUGCCAAUCAACUUUGCCACGCCAAAUUUGCCGGCAGUGACCUCCUGCAGCCCCUGGCCAGGUGAUAAGCACAAUCUCCUCUUCCCACAUCUCCUCGUGAUGCUGUAGGAAUCUUUUUCUCCCCAGACACCUCCAAGAAUCCUCAGCACAACCACAGGCAAGCAGGAUGACUCGUUAUUGCCCGGAAAACUCCCUUCCAGGGUAGAAAUUUCGGGGAAAGCCCAGGGCGACCCAUCCUCCCUCCUCNAGGCGGGGAUAGCUCAGCCCUCCUCUGUUGUUUGACUUCUUGCGCUGUGUUUUCUUUCGGGUUCUCGGAACGCUGACGUAACCCCGGGGCUGAAGCUUUGGACAAACAAGGUUUUUCGCUCGGAGCAGGGCCAAACCCCCUCAGCACCCCAUGCUGAUCCCACAGGCACCUCCUGAUCCUCCUGGGUCCCUGUGCUCCCUGCCCGGGAUGCAGGAGCUCAGCAUCCCCUGGGCAAGGUGAGCAGUGCAGGGCCUGACCCCUCUGGUGUCCCUGGGGUUUGGGAUGAGCCUGACCUCGGGCCCCACCAGGGUUGGGAGCUCUGGUGCAGGAGAACUGGGAUGAAAUUGGUGCUGGGAAGGGGCUGGGGAGUGAACGAGAUGUUCUGGGAGCUGGGAAAGGCAAACAGAGCUGAGGGGAAGCCUUGGCAGAUAAACAGCUCGGGAUCACAUUGCAGGGCAGCCUGGGGCAGAGGAGGCUCCGGGCGUGGUGCAGGGCAGGAGGGACCCUCAUCCAUCCCUGCCAGGAUCCCACCAAAGAUCCUCCUGUGAGAAUCACCAGGCCCUGAAGGACACUGGGCCGUGAAGAUCCCACAAAAGGAUGGGGAAGAUCCUCCUGUGGGUCUCACCAGGCCUUAAAGGACACUGGGCAAGAGGGACCUUCAUCCCUGUGAAGAUCCCACAAAAGAGUGGGAAAGAUCCUCAUCCUCCUGUGGGAAUCACCAGGUCUUGGAGGCACUGGGCAGGAGGAUCUCUCAUCGUUGUGAAGAUCCCACCAGAGAGUGGAAAAGAUUCUCCUGUGGGUCUCAGCAGCCCUUGAAGAUAUUGGGCAGGAGGGACCUUCAUCCCUGUGAAGAUCCCAUCA
ensembl:lncRNA